CAGGGUCUAGCAUGUAAAACAUCAUAUGUAAUUACUAACCAUUCUAGCUAUACAGGGACCGGAAAAAUUGUACAUCAUAUCGUAAAACUUCCAUGACAGACAGGCCCCAUCAGUAUUAGCAAAUUCAUCAGGUAAUUUUAAUUUACUUCAGAUCUACAAACUAGCAAAUUCAUGAUGCAUGAGUUUUCAUGAAAUUUUAUACACAAAACCACCUUAGUGAAUCAGUCAAUGUGAUCAAACCAAUGAUUGAACCUGGAGCACCAUCUACAGGCAUCCAACAUUGUUCUCAGGAGAAACUCAAUUCAUCAAUAGAUAUGGAUAGUUCUGAUUCGAUCAUGUUAUCUUUUUUUUUUUCUCUUCGGGAAUUUCUUUGAUCCCGUUUUCUUCUUUUCCUUCUGCUGCUGUUAUACAGUCCUGGAAUCUGAAACAACUUGUGAGAUGGUCGUUUGUUAUUCCUGACACUUGCAUGAAAGAGUAGAUGACAGUAGGCCCCACACUUCGAAAGCC
rnacentral:lncRNA from 1 species